GGGGGUGUUACGGUUUCGACUAGGAAACGAAAAAUUGAUUGCAUGCGGAGGAUAUCGGUUGGCCUCCUAAAAAAACCGGUAAAAACAAUAAAUGCUAACAACAGCAAUUAUUUUGCAGACCAAAGAGCUCUUGAUGAGUCUUCUUGUGCUGCUGCCGCUGCUUAAGACCUAAUAGUUUUUCGCAGCCCGAUAGCCUGAGAUUGGACCAAGGAUUUCAGAAUCUAUCGUCAUUUACUUGGUAUGAAUUUCAACUUCGCCGUUUCUAGGAGUUGAUCUUUCGAGAUUAAAUGAAACAAACCGGUCUUAUUGGCGCGUUCUGCAUAGAGACUGGGGAUUUUACAGGACGAUAAGCAUGUAGUGGUUAAUUCGUAGUUUGCCAAGGACGAGAGUUCAAUUCUCUCCACCUCCAAAU
rnacentral:tmRNA from 1 species